rnacentral:rRNA from 1 species
UACGAAGGGGGCUAGCGUUGCUCGGAAUCACUGGGCGUAAAGGGUGCGUAGGCGGGUUAUUAAGUCAGAGGGGAAAUCCUGGAGCUCAACUCCAGAACUGCCUUUGAUACUGAUAGUCUUGAGUAUGGGAGAGGUGAGUGGAACUGCGAGUGUAGAGGUGAAAUUCGUAGAUAUUCGCAAGAACACCAGUGGCGAAGGCGGCUCACUGGCCCAUUACUGACGCUGAGGCACGAAAGCGUGGGGAGCAAACAGG